UCAAAGUGUAAAGUUUAUCAUCCAACUUUAGAGAGCAGACCCAUAUGGGUGUCGGGGAAUUAGUUUACCCUCUCGCAUUGGAAAGCAUGGUUGGUCCUUUAGGGGGUGCAACCCUACGGUGAAUCCAUAAGAAGGGUGCGAUCUUCUCUUGAAGUGCAGGGGAUAUAAGUUGUUGUAGACAUGAAGUCGAGCCAAGUUGUAAAUUACUUUUGAAUUCUUUUGAAAAACGAGUGAAAUGAACGAAUAACUUAGCUAUAAAAAACUUUAUAACAACUGGAUAGUCAUUGGCUUGCGAGUUGAUGCCCAUUGAGCUGUUUGAGUCUUCGGAUCUUGAUAUGGUGGGAGGUCACACA
rnacentral:lncRNA from 1 species